GUAGGUGGCAAGCGUUGUCCGGAAUUAUUGGGCGUAAAGCGCGCGCAGGCGGUCCUUUAAGUCUGAUGUGGAAGCCCACGGCUCAACCGUGGAGGGUCAUUGGAAACUGGAGGACUUGAGUACAGAAGAGGAAAGCGGAAUUCCAAGUGUAGCGGUGAAAUGCGUAGAGAUUUGGAGGAACACCAGUGGCGAAGGCGGCUUUCUGGUCUGUAACUGACGCUGAGGCGCGAAAGCGUGGGGAGCAAACAGGGAUUAGAUACCCUGGUAGUCCACGCCGUAAACGAUGAGUGCUAAGUGUUAGGGGGUUUCCCGCCCCCUUAGUGCUGCAGCUAACGCAUUAAGCACUCCGCCUGGGGAGUACGGCCGCAAGGCUG
rnacentral:rRNA from 1 species